CCGCGCCGGGGAGGGAUCCUCCGUUCCGGAGCUGCGGGGCGCCGCCGGCCCCGGGGCCGCACGGGCCAGCCUGUCCCAGGGGUGGGAGCGCGAAGCUGCAGCUCCACGCGCCGCGGAGCCCGGGCACGGCGCGGCUCCCCCCUCCAGCGCCCCAUCCUUCGCGCUGCCCGGUGUUGCCUUUGCUGCAGGCGGGCCCCGCCGCCCCCCCGUCACCCUCCAGGAGCAGGUGAGCCACUGACUAACGCACAUUGUGCUCUCGGCGACUCCACUGUGCGUGUGACAGCGGCUAACCUGCUCCUCGGACAUCACUGUGCGGCCGCCUCGCCUCCCCGGACCCGCGCCUCGAAGCCUCGACGCCCUCCUGCCCCCUCGGCCAGCCAGGUGAGGGGCUCCGGCGUGCCAAGGAAUCGCUCCCCCGUCCGUCGCCACUGUCCUGCCUCCAGCGGUUCCCCAUGCUCGGCUCUGCGGACCCCCGAUGCGCUGCCGGGAGUGCCCCAGGAUCGGAUGCGCUUGCACGGGGGAGCGCGAAAAGAUUGAACAUUCCUGCAGCGGGGCUCGGUGUGCCCGGCGGGAGCGGAGAUGGAGGGAACGGGCCGUGUCGGCAUGUGGGUGCGAAUAGUUGGUGGUAAAGUUGUUCAGGAGGGAUGGCGUGCCCUGUCCGCUUGCUCUUCUCCAAAGUACAUAAGUGCUAGCGGACUUCGUACCAAGUUAGAGAUGCAUCAUCCCGGCCGGUGACGUCUUGAGACCCGGUCAGUGACUAACUGAACUGCUAUUGCCAAGGGUGUGUUAAUAGAAGAAACUCUGCCUAGUAUUGCCCUGGAUGAGUCACAUUUAAAGAGAGACUCUCUAGUCUGUUAAAGGAAAAGCAGAAACGAGCCUCACUUUCCUUUUUUUUUUCCAUCCCACCCCUCACGUUGGCUUGCUGUUUUCUUCAUCUUGUGCCAGGGCUCUAUUGGCGCCCCAGCCCUGGCUGGGCAUUUGCAAAGCUGCCUUGCCCAAUGUGCUGUGAUGUCACGCUGGGGACUCUGACUUCAUGGCCCUGAGGAACAGGAAGGCAAGCCAGGCAGGGACUUUUCCAGCCACCCACGGUGGCUGUCACUAAAAACUGAGGAAGUGACGAAGCAGAUGGCUUCUCCUACAUAGUUAUCUCUUGUGAUUUUUCGGCUGGUGAAGAAUCUGGGUAGUUGAAAAGUGUAUUUUCUGAAGAGCUGCACAGCUUCAUUGUCAGCUGAAGUUCCUAAUAAACAGCUAGGAUUCACCACAGCUGCUGAGUUUCCCUGGGAGGGCUCAGGUAUUCCCCUUACUCCUGGGGCUGCUCUCAUGUAGCCCUGGACUGUUGUAAAGGCAUGAUCUGAAGGAACUGGCAGUGCUGUGGUCAAUAAGUAGUUAAUUGCACACAAGGUAGAGCAAGGUCCUCUGUUGGUGAAGUGUGUCUCUGGGAAGUUUUCUCCUUCGUGCUCUUAUCAUUUCUGCCUGUGGGUCCCAGAGGAACAGCUGCUCUUCACAAGAAAACUCAGCUCCCUCUGUGCUCUGUGUUUCCGUAGUGCUCAAACAGCCUGGGAAGAUGGGAAAACCAACCAAAGUUACCCAAGAUGCUUUCAUGUUUGUUCAGAAGCCAAUGGGCCUUUUUAUUUCUUUUUAAUGGGGGACAGGGUUGGGGGGCAGACAAAUUUGCAGCUGUCUCAGCCCCAGAUUGCUUUUUUCUUCCCUAGCUGCACCUACAGCAUCUUCCCACUGCUGGUCCUGAGCAGGCAGGAGCACAGUGUAGCCACACAGAGAGAGAGGGAAACCUGGUGCAAAAUCCAUCCAUGUACAAGCCUGUCUGAGAGCUGAAACUGAAGGCCACAGUCCCCUUGCCACCCCAUUUUAUAGCUGACCACGCACAUAACAAACCUGUGUCUGAAAAUAAAGGUGCUUUGUUUCUCUUUGAAUAAACAGCCCUGCAUUUGGGACUGUGCUGGCUGAUGACUUAACCCUGGGAGAUGCCUCUGGCAGAAGCAGCUCUGCAGGUCUCCUGGCAAGACCUGUCCCAGUUCCCAUGAGCAGCACUAUGGGUAUGAAUGCUUCCGACUUCCUGCUACCAAUGGAACCAUCCUGUUCAGCUCCAGGCAAGGUAGAAAGCAGUCAGUCUGCACUCUGAGAUGGAGAAAGAAAAAUCAUCAUAGGAGAGCAGACAAUGCUCCCUGCAUGGACACACACGCUGCUUCAAGCAGCUCUUCUUCAUCUGCAGUGAACUAUGCUGGUAGAAGCUGUGCAGCCAGGAGCAAGCAGCAGAGCAUCUGUACACCACUUGGGGAGCAAAACCAACAGGCAUUUUCUCCUCCAGACAUUCACACCUUUCCUUAUGUAAUUGGUGCUGAAGUGUGUGCUUUAAAAGCUGCUUGCCAAAUCCAGGGGCUGGGAGGCAGCAGAAAUGCUUCUAGCACUCUAGAUGAAAUUGAGGGGGGAAAAGAAAAACCAAACACCCAUGAAUUUGUACAAAUACAUAACUGCAACUUGAGGAUGGUUCAAGUGUCUGCAGCAGUGUUGCCCUGAAGAAACUGCACUGGCCUGGGGCAGUGCUGGCACCCAGACCUCCCAUCUGAUGAAGAUGGUGAGGAGCUGAAUGUCCAGGAUAGAGGGAUGAGGAGCUGGGGGGGGUCAUUUAUUUACGCAAUAUUAAAAAAAAAAAAAAAAUCCUUAAAAAAAAAAAAAUCAGGUAGUGCAGCCAGGAAAAGGGCGCCAGGGAGGCUGGAGGUGCGUGAAAUACUCUUCUGAAUGGUGCCUUGUGCUGGCAGAACCUGCAGAUGUAUUAAAAAAAAAAAGCUAACAAAAAAUCAGGGCUGCUCACCAGUGAAAAACAGGUAUAUCCUUCACUUUGUGACAUUUGGGUGGCACUGGAGCUAGCCAGGAAAAGCAUCUGAGGAGAGAGAAGCUCUGAAGUCCAUUCCCACCCACUCCAGGGAAGGAAGAAGCUGCCCACACCGCCUGAGGGACACGGGGACAUGAGUCCCUGUGCAGCCAGGCACAGCAUCCUCGAGCCACCCUGCAAACUUGGAUCCCUGCCUUGCCUGCGAGCCAGUUGUUCUCUCUCCAGUACGCUCCGUACGCAGGGCUUUUGGUCUGCUUUUUAAGGGAAUAAACAAUAAUUUAUUUGCUUUGUUUUAAUCUCA